GGCUUCUAUUUAACAUAAUUUUUCCCCAUCAAUUCAAUUUCACGCAUGUUUUAAUGAUUUGUCAAUAUCGGCUAGGACAUGAAUUCCAUUUAACUUAUCCUGAAGUGGAUGUUUUGAACCAUAAGAAAAAACUAUUAAGGAAAAACUAGCAAUGUACCAUCUAGCGUCUUCAUCGAAAUGUUAGUUUUUCAUAGAGAUUUUCCCUAGAAAUUUAGCAAUUUGGCGUUCGUUUUGUUUUUGUUUGUUUUAGUGAUUGUGCUGAGUUUUUACGUAAUUAAAUGGUCAGCUAUUUGGAUGAAUUCCUGAUCGUGGCUAUACUUCGGGUGAAGGGUGCGAUGAAGAGAACUUGCACCAACAAUGUAGAUCAUUGAACUAUGAGGCAACCACUGCUACCUCAUAGAAACAUUUGACAUGAAACACUAUUUAAUAAGUCUUUAGUAAUGGUGACCUUUUCUUGGAAUCAAGACGACCUUGUAGCAGAGGGGAAUACGAAAGAAGCUGCUCUCUCGAUCAGAAAUUUGGCUGAUUUUCAUCUACUGAAUUUGGAGGCUUUGGAGCAUUUGGAUAAAUUGGACUGCGAAAUUUACGAGGAAAUACAAAUAAAAGAGUUGCUGCGCUCUACAACAAAAGAGUUGGCUGCAACGAUUGAUGACCUCGAGAAAAGGCUGGACGAGAUAGAUAACGAAGGAAGCGAAUGGAAGACAAGGUACAAUAACCAGAGUGAGUUGAACCAGAUGUUGGAGCGGCAGGUGGUUAUGCUGGCAAACCAGGUCGAAGACACUAAAUUGGUUCUGAAAGAUGGGCGCAUAUCAAAAGCGUUUGCGGACAUGACAGACAGUGCUUUGGAAAAGGGUAUCCGGAUGGCCCAGAAGGAGAAGAUGCGACUGGAGGCUGAGAUCAAAGAGGUGGAGUUGCGAAUGGAACAGGAGGCCAAGGCUUUUCAUCGGGGUAACGAAGAACGGCGACAAUUGUUGAGUGAGCUUAAUGUGAGUAAACAGACAGUGAUGCAAAAGCACCAGAAGUCACAGCUGGACAUGCUGCAGGGAGAUCUGAAAAAACUGAAUCAGUUAUCGAGCAGAUCUCAGGCGCCUCAUUUUAACACGAGGGGUGCUGAAGGAGGAGGAGUAAGAGGAAGGGACAACGGACCCAUGUCAGUAGCAGUGAUUGCCCCUAAUGUCAAUGCUCAUUCACACUCGUUUAGAGAGUCUAAUCGAAAUGGUAAACAAAGGAAUGUCGUCACUAGAGCUGCUUCAAUAGCACCAGGUGCAGCUCCUAACCAGAGGCAUCCACAUAUGGCGCAUAGUAUUGGAGAAGCGAACAACCUGCCUCCGAACCAGCGCAUAUUAGAUCCGAAGAGAGGACCCAUUCGCAAAACAGCAGCAGUGAAGAAGCUUCCAGCGCUCGCGCAUUCCUCUGCCAGCAGUUUCUGAAACAGUUCAAGGAUAGAGAUGCAAUAUUUCACGUGCAUUAGAACAUUAUUUCGAACGAUGAUAAAAAAGGAGAUGAAACUCCAGAGAAAAGACCGAAGACUCAAACCACUCUACACAAAGCAGCCACUCCGGAGAAGUUCCAGGCACGACUGACAGUAGCCGGUGAUGAGUCAUACGAC